GGGAAAGGUCCGGGCUCGCCUCCGUGGCACACGCGAACGGAGAGCGCGUUCACGUAGGACAGCGUGUGACAGGCGUCGUCAAAAGCCGGCGGCUGCCUCGGUGGACCCUUCAGCACGCCAAGGGUCCGGGGAGGCGCGGAGCUGAGCAGCCUGGACAGGAAGGAACUGGGCUCCUCGUCGGGUUGGGCGCCGGGGCCCUAGUGCCCCGGAGGCCACCGAGAACCGGGCUUGUACGGGCCGGGCAAAGAAAGUGGGCCAAGCCGCCGGGAGCCGAGGUCAGCGCCGCCCGUACGCUGAACUUGCGGUCACGCCCCCUCGCAGGGAGGGGCGGGGCCCUCCCCGGAAGUGCGUCACGGUCGCGCCGGCAUUACGUACCGCGGCUUGGAGAGACCGGGCGAGGAGACGCGGCCCGUUGCCGUGGAGACGGAGGCAGCGGCCUGCAGAGGCGUUCUCGACCCAGAGUCUCUGAAAAUCAGUGACACCAGUGUGCGGCUUUGGUUCCGGCAGAAUUGAAGCCUCGCGAUGAAGAGCAGCAGUCUUGCCGUCGCCCCCAGCGGCACGUCCUUUCGGCCCUUGUACGGUCCGCCGGCCGAAGCCUUCCGGAUCUGAACAGAGGCCACUGCCUUGGGGUUCCCGGUGGACACGCUGUGGGCCACCUGAGGCCUGAGCUGUGGGCCCAGUGAGACCUGAGGCCUGAGUUGUGGACCCUCUGAGACCUGAGGCCUGAGCCCGCAGGCCCGCAGUGCCGCCCCCCAGUGGUGGCCCAUUGUCACCUCUGCCUGACUCUGUCCUCCUCUGUCCGCUUCACACGUACCUGUUGUUCUCAUGCCUACAUCUUUGCUAAGCCAUAUUUGGUUUUUCCAGACGCUCUGAUGUUUUUGCACAGGCCUACCGAUGAUCCUGUCCGCCUUGUCCCAGUCCCCGUCCCCGUCCCCACACCAUGGGCAGGCCCCUCUGGCCUUGCUCUGCGGUCACCCUGCCUGGAACCCAUGCAUCUCCCUUCAGUUUACUCUCCCUUCCACUAGCUUCCUGGAAAGGGUCAGUGUCUAGAGUAUGUUCUGUGCUCAUCUCUGAUAGACUGCUCCGCAGACAGUAGAAUUCUAGUUGGGAAACGCUUUACCUUCAGAAUGUCUCACAUAGUACUGUUUGCUUCCCUCCUCCAGGGAUGCUAUUGAAAAGUACAAACCUAUUCUGAGUCCUGGUCGAUGGUUUCUUCUCUGCGCAUUCUCCCUGAAAGCUUUUAGGAUCUUCCCUUUCUCCUUGGUGCUCAGAAGUAUCACACCAAUAUGCUUUGAUGUGAGCCUCACUUUGUUCUGUGUACACAUUUCUCUUCAUCCUGGAGGCUCUCUUUCUUCCUUCAGUUGGGGAACCUAAAAAUUCCCCUCUUGUUUUCCUGUGUUUUUUUCUAAGAUUUAUUUAUUUGAGAGAGAGCACACACACAGGAAGAAGGAGAGAGAAACCCAAGCAGACGGCAUGCCCAGCACAGAGCCCAACAUAGGGCUGCACUCGGGCUCCAUCUCAUGACUCUGAGAUCAGGACCCAGACGCUUAAUGGGCUGCACCACCCAGGCAACCCUUGUUUGCUCCUGAUGGGAUCCCAGUUUGUCAGAUUCUCAUUGCACUUCUUGGACUAAUCCUGUAACUUUAUUCUCUAACCCAGUGUUUUUCUGGUAGAUAUCCUUAAAUUUACUGUCCAUCUCUUCUCUUGGUUAGUUAACCUGUGAUUUUGUGACUUAUAACAAUAAACAUGCACUUGGUUUGCAUCCCUGUUUCUAGCACAGAGCUCCUAAAAUGUUUGAACUUCCUAAGUAAAAACAGUCCUAAAGCUCUGUCUUGAUACUCAUAAAACGCCUCUUUCAGUCACAUCUGCAUUUAUAUUGAUAAGGUGGUUUUUGGGAAUACUUUGUUAACCUUAAAAAUAAAACAGUUGUUUUACCCACAAAAAGUGGGCUUAUUUGGUAAUAACAGAGAAUUAACAUGGAUACCUGGGUGGCUCAGUGGUUGAGCGUCUGCUUUUGGCUCAGGGCGUGAUCCCUGAGUCCCAGGAUUGAGUCCGCCUGGGGCUCCUUGCAUGCUUCUCCUCUCUCUGCCUAUGUCUCUGCCUGUCUCUCUAUGUCUCUCAUAAAUAAAUAAAAUCUUAAAAAGAAAAAACAGAAUUACAUUUCAGGACACAUAAGCUAUGGCAAAACUACAGAUAAGUCCAGAGAAUGAAGGCAGAAUUGUUAUUUUAUGGAGCAAGGGGAGGUUGGGAGGGUUGUUUUGAAUGAAAGCCCAUUGGAGAGAAACAGGAGUUGAGGAUGAUGAUGGUUUCUCACUGGCUGAGCUGCAGAGGCAGUGGAUUUCUUGUAGGAGAUGCAAUGCACAUCUUUUCCUAUUGGGGCCUGUAAUUGACAGUUCUUUCCUGUUGAUGAUUCUCUUGAGGAGGCCUUUCUUCCUGUAAUUGAGAUUGAAUGCUACAGCUCCUUUCAGCUUCCCCUUCUAGCAUUAGCAGUCCACUUUAGUGAGGUUUUCCUUUAUUAGUUUUCACGCUCCUAGGGAUGAGCAAUGGGGAGACCAGCCACGGGAUGAGAGGCUUGGAACUCAGUCUCACCCCCUGACCUCCAGAGGUCAUAAAUAAAAUCUUUAAAAAAAGAAAAAAAGAAAAAAAA
rnacentral:lncRNA from 1 species